rnacentral:rRNA from 1 species
UACGGAGGGGACUAGCGUUGUUCGGAAUUACUGGGCGUAAAGCGCACGUAGGCGGACAUUUAAGUCAGGGGUGAAAUCCCGGAGCUCAACUCCGGAACUGCCUUUGAUACUGGGUGUCUUGAGUGUGGAAGAGGUGAGUGGAAUUCCGAGUGUAGAGGUGAAAUUCGUAGAUAUUCGGAGGAACACCAGUGGCGAAGGCGGCUCACUGGUCCAUUACUGACGCUGAGGUGCGAAAGCGUGGGGAGCAAACAGG